UCUUACAUUCCAUUCGGAAUUUUUAAAAGAAACUGUGUCAAAUUUACUGUUCUUUCAAAUUUUAUCCUCAUCCCACAAAGGAGCGUUUCCCAACGGCUCUCAAACUACAGCGAUCCAGAGAAUGUUUGUUAUUUGUUAUGUCACCGUUUAGAAAAAAGCAGAUUUACCGUUGGGAAAAAAGCAGAUUCUACCUCUUUUAAAUGGGCGGAUUAUUUGAGAAGCAGCGCAGACUGUUCUUUCUUUGUUUUUCUUUGUUUAAUUUUAAUGUGUUGUAUGUUUUAUUUGGCAUGGCCAUGCCUCUGUUUUGAGUUCUGCUUUUAAAUUUUCGUUAUGUGUUUUCAGUUUCUGAUCUUUAAUUCUUCUGUUUGUAUUCCAUCGUGUUUGAAUUCUUUUAUUUAUUUAUUUUUCUUGGUAUUUUGUAUAUUUUCUUUCUGUAGGUGGUGAUUUUUUAAUGAGGUAUGGAGGCAGGCAGCAGCAGCAAGGAGAACUGUACAUUCGACCCAGUGGUUAAUUGGAGAUGUGGCCAGAAAAUACUCAGGGAUAGUAUAAGCACUCGCAGUGAUAAGGAGGAGGAGAAAAAUAAGCACUGGCAAUGAUAAGGAGGGGGAGGGGAAAAGAAGCAGAAUUACACAUCACAACUAUCAGGAAUUACACCACACCAUGAGGAGGAGGAAAAAAGAAGCAGAAUUACACAUCACAACUAUCAGGAAUUACAUCAGACAGCAAAGAAUGGCAGGAUCGACUCCCCACAUGAUUCUAGGAUGAAGUCAUUUCAUGCACCCAUUCCAAAUUCCAUAGGGGAUAAUGCAUAAUCAAUUUGAGACAAGAUUUGUGGUUAUUAUCACAAAGCCAUAGUUGUAGUUUUAUGAGAACAAAUUCAGGUCAUAGUUAUAGUUUUUAUUAUGAGGUUGAAUUGAGGCCAUAGCUGUAGUUCUUAGUAUGAAGCCAAACUGGCACCCUAGUUAUUCUUAUUAUGAGGUAUGUGACAAAAUUUGAAAAUUGUAUUUAUUAUUGUAAAGGAAAAAAAUGCACACCCUUACACACUUGCA